rnacentral:lncRNA from 1 species
GGUUUCGUGUCUGGCUCCCUGAGGUCCAGAUGGUCCCAACACGUCCCUGGGGGGAGGAAGUCCCAUGAAGAAAUAAAGAACAUGUGGUGAAUCACAGAGAAGUGGCUGAAAAGAUUCAAGCCUCAACCUUGGUCCUCCCUAGUCACAUGACCACAGGCAAACCUCUUCUCUCUCAGCCUCAGUUUUUGCAUCAGUGCAAUAGGAAUGGUAUCUGCCAUGCUAACCUCACAGGACUGCUGUGUGUUCAGAUGAAUCAGGUAUGUGAAAGACACUUCUGCAAGCGGGAAAGAGGUGUGCAAAGGCAAUUUGCUUUUACAGAACUUAUAUUACUGUCAUUUCCCAUCGUUAUUUUAAUGCUCAAAAGGUUUGGGAGACAUUUCUGUAACUGAGGUGUUCAUGGUAAGCCCACACUCACUCCUGCUUGGAAAAGGUUUUACAUAGACUGAGGAGACCUGAGGCAGUUGCUGAGCUGCUUAGAACAGAGUCUCUGGGUCACAGCCAUCCCAUUACUGGGCAUAUCCCCAAAGGAUUGUAAAUCAUGCUGCUAUAAAGACACAUGCACACGUAUGUUUAUUGCAGCACUAUUCACAACAGCAAAGACUUGGAACCAACCCAAAUGUCCAUCAAUGAUAGACUGGAUUAAGAAAAUGUGGCACAUAUACACCAUGGAAUACUAUGCAGCCAUAAAAAAGGAUGAAUUCAUGUCCUUUGUAGGGACAUGGAUGAAGCUGGAAACCAUCAUUCUGAGCAAACUAUCGCAAGGACAGAAAACCAAACACUGCAUGCUCUCACUCAUGGGUGGGAAUUGAACAAUGAGAACACAUGGACA